rnacentral:rRNA from 1 species
GACGAACGCUGGCGGCGUGCUUAACACAUGCAAGUCGAACGGAAAGGCCCUGCUUUUGUGGGGUGCUCGAGUGGCGAACGGGUGAGUAACACGUGAGUAACCUGCCCUUGACUUUGGGAUAACUUCAGGAAACCGGGGCUAAUACCGGAUAGGAGCUCCUGCUGCAUAGUGGGGGUUGGAAAGUUUCGGCGGGUGGGGAUGGACUCGCGGCUUAUCAGCUUGUUGGUGGGGUAGUGGCUUACCAAGGCUUUGACGGGUAGCCGGCCUGAGAGGGUGACCGGCCACAUUGGGACUGAGAUACGGCCCAGACUCCUACGGGAGGCAGCAGUGGGGAAUAUUGCACAAUGGGCGGAAGCCUGAUGCAGCAACGCCGCGUGCGGGAUGACGGCCUUCGGGUUGUAAACCGCUUUCGCCUGUGACGAAGCGUGAGUGACGGUAAUGGGUAAAGAAGCACCGGCUAACUACGUGCCAGCCGCCGCCGUAA